CGUGUAGGCGGCCAGGUAGGUCCGUUGUGAAACUGGAGGCUUAACCUCCAGCCGUCGACGGAAACCAUCUGGCUAGAGUCCGGAAGAGGAGAGUGGAAUUCCUGGUGUAGCGGUGAAAUGCGCAGAUAUCAGGAAGAACACCCGUGGCGAAGGCGGCUCUCUGGGACGGUACUGACGCUGAGACGCGAAAGCGUGGGGAGCGAACAG
rnacentral:rRNA from 1 species